CUCCCCGGGAGCGUUGGGGUGAGGCCUAAAGGAGAGGUACACAUCUAGCCCAAAGCAACUCCAUGCCAGGUUUGUUGUUGGUUUUGUUUUUCAUUUCCUCUCUUCCUCCUUGGUGCAAUCUUUCCCUCUGGGACCAAGCCUCCAUUUCAGCCUGCUUCAUAGCCUGGGGUUCUCUGUAUGCUCGUUCCGAGCCGAGGGAAGGGGGGCCACCUCUACUGUGCAACAGUGUCAGCCACCGCCCUAUCCAUCCCCCCCCCCCCCCGAAAGAGUCCCAGCCGCUCACACUGGCAGGGACUUCUGCACUCACUGACAUCCAGUGUAUCCUUCAUUCCCCCAGAGCAGGCCAGUUUCUGGGGAGGAGGCCACUUCAGUUUUCUCUUUGCAGCCUUUUUGAGUUUCUGGUCUAACAAGUGGAUGUCUGGUGACUGUUGUAAGGACCUGCUGGAAUCUUCUCUGAAGAUCCCAAGGAAGCCAGCCCAAAAGGAUCGGGUUGGGUUUAGUCAGCUCUAAAAACUCCUUAAAGAAGAAUCCAGCGCCUCACUCUGGUGCCCACACAUCACAGCCCGACCUCCAGUCCGGAUGAUCUGCUCUUGUGGGGAAGUGGAGGCCUCAGGAGACGUGGCUCCCACCCACAGGUUGCUGCUCAGAAGGCCCUGGCCCUGCCAGAGAACACCCGCCAGCUUUGAGCCAAGGCUGCCUGCUCAACACCCGGAGCUUCCUCACCGUAUGAUUUUAUCUUUCUGGCUACCAGAAAGCAGCCAGGCUAAGAAGAGAAAGAAACAGAUCAAGAGGCAGGAGUUACAUGUUCAAGGCAUGUGAGUGAUGGUGGGUCCCAGGCCUGCCUGGCCCUUCAGGUCCUCUGCGGACCCAACGGACCUCCUUCUGUCAGGCCAGAAGAGGGCAUCAGACCCGCUGGAACUGGAGUU